AUGAACCCAUCCUUGGCCCCCGGCCCGGAUGGCCUCCCAGUGAAGUUCUUCCAGACUUUCUGGGAGGUGAUCAAACCUGAGGUGAUGGCCUUAUUUGACGAGUUCUUUGUUGGGUCCAUCGACCUCGCCCGGCUGAACUUUGGGGUAAUCACCCUCAUCCCCAAAGUGACCGGGGCCUCGGACAUCUGGCAAUUCCGUCCGAUUACGGUGAUUAACGUCAUCUCCCGCAUCCUCGUGAAGGGGUACGCCAUUAGGGUUCCCCCUAUAGCCGACUAGAUCACUCACCCUGAUCAGUCGGCCUUCAUCCAGGGCCGUUAUAUCCUCGACGGAGUCUUG
rnacentral:rRNA from 1 species